UUAGUGGCGGACGGGUGAGUAACGCGUGGAAAACCUGCCGUAUACUGGGGGAUAACACUUAGAAAUAGGUGCUAAUACCGCAUAAGCGCACAGCUUCGCAUGAAGCGGUGUGAAAAACUCUGGUGGUAUACGAUGGUUCCGCGUCUGAUUAGCUAGUUGGUGGGGUAAUGGCCUACCAAGGCAACGAUCAGUAGCCCGCCUGAGAGGGUGAACGGCCACAUUGGGACUGAGACACGGCCCAAACUCCUACGGGAGGCAGCAG
rnacentral:rRNA from 1 species